UCUUUCUUUCUUUCUUUCUUUCUUUCUUUCUUUCUUUCUUUCCCGGGGGUGGGGCAUCUUGUAAUUCUUUGGUGAAAAAGGAAGAGGUCACUUUGGAAGGACAUUUUAUGUGGGGACUCCCUGAGGCAAAAACACCUGUAGAGAGGGUUGAUGGUCUGUUCCAUGGAGGUUGGGAUGUGACUUCUUUGCAUGGCAUCUUGAGAUCAGGAUCCGGCCCUUGAAAAGGGGGGUGGGAGAUGAACAUUAGCUGUCAAAAGUUCUGCUGGCAUUGGGGCUGUGCCCAAAAGAUUUUGUGGGGGGUGAGGACAGGUGAAAACCACACCUCCACCUGGACUGGGUUCCCUCGUAGGGAGGUGGCAUUCCUCAGCAAGGAGCCCAGGUUGCAGACAGCUGUAUGGGAGCUCUUAAUAAUUUAAGGCUGUUUUUUCCCACAGCCUUGUAGUCAGAUAUGUUUCUAAGAUGUCCACUGUUUUAGGAACUACGCAUUUGGCUAGCUUGUCUACAUAGAUAGUUCUUAGCUUCUUAGUUUGGCUUCUGCAUCUUUUGGCUUCUCCUGGCCCUUUCAGCUCCCAUUGUUACUUUUGCCCUUAGAUGGAAUUCUCCAUCAGAGAGGGAGCGUAAACAUUUCAGUUUGCUUUAUUCCCCAUGGUAGGCUUUAAAACCAUCGCUUCUCUCCCUGCCUCCUCGUCCCCUCUAAUGGAAAGGCUGCCUGUUUCCUAAAUCAUGUUGGUUCUAUUCUCAGUUGCAUUUAGUUGAUCAAAAUCCCCGAAGAAAUAAUUAAAUUAAUCAAUGGGUUUGUGCUGGCAAGUUACGCAGUCCUAGCCAUUCAGGCUAACUUCAGCAGUGGGUGGAGGAGAGGAGUAAAACACCCAGAAGAAAUAUGUGCCUGAAACACUUUUUUUUUUUUCAUUUGCAGUGAAAACAAAGAGGAAUUAUUGCCUUGAUCUUUAGAGAAAGAUCCAGGCUGCUGCUUUUCUUCAGAGCUGGUUUGUCAGCUGCGCCACCAUCUCCACCCCCACCCCCAGUUUUUCAUUGCAGAAUUAGCCAGGCUUGUGUUGGCGGCUUGACAUUUGAACUGAGCUCCCAGAUGCUGGCUCUUAGUUCCCUUUGUUUUGAAAAUCAUGACACUAAAUUCUCAUUGCUGAAUAAAGCCAUGCAAAGAUCCUUGAUUUUUCCCAGCAUUUCCAUAUUUCUCAAGAAUAGACUGCUCCCACAGUGUUAAAAAACAAACCAAAACUACUUAUUGAACCAAUUCCUCUGCUGUUUUCCUGAAAUCCUUGCUUGCUGUAUCUACAGACAGAAUCUCAUGAUGUCCAGAAAGUUCAUUCAUUGGUGCCUCCCUGAAUCUUAGAUCAGUCUUUCCCACCCCGGCCUUCUCCAGAUCUCUUGGAUCACAAGUCCCAUCACCACCCACUGGUAAUUGCUGCUCUGUGGAGGUGAUGAGUGAUGUGGUAGUGUGACGCCUUUGGGAAAUCGGCUGUAGCUGCUUUCCCUUUUCCUGAAACUGCAAAUAAAACUUGGGGAAAACUGGAACGAUGAAUAAUUUGAACUCAAAGUCAAAAGGAAAAAACUUGACAAAAUUCACACGACAAUUGCUUCUUUUAAAUCCAUGGCUGCUGGAAAGGCAGGACUGGAAAUGCCAGUGAGCUUGGAGCCCUUCUCUUGGUUUAUGUUUUGAGGUAGGUUAUCCUUUCUGUGCCAGUCCAUGUGCAGAUGUUGCCAGUGACAUAAAAAUGGUUUGUUUUCUAGUCCAUAUCACUCGGCUUACAUCACGGAUGGAUUUGGGAGCAUGAGAAUGACAACAGCCAAGUGAUACAUCACUAGAGUAGAAGAUCCAAAUUGCAUUGCUCAGUGGGUCAUGCAUAGUGGCACCACAAGGAGCCAGUUGAGAAACACUGAUCUAAUCUGUUCCCCCAACUCCAACCUCCCAGUAGUUAAAGUGAUUUAGCAAAAAGUAGUCUUAAUUUUUCCUUCCCUUUGCCUUCACCUGCCCAGAAUCCUGAUGAGCUUUUAUCUAGAGCAACUGGAAACAGAAGAAUGAUAAUUCUUGUAAGGUAUGAAAGUGAGAGUUUAAGUUCUUCUUUCAGAAUCACCUUACAACACUGCCAGUGUGCCCAUGGUACCCAUUGAAAACUAAAGUGGAGGAUGAGUCUGUGUGGUUGUGCUGAACUGUACAGAACUUCAUGUGUGUGCUUUUAAUUAAAGGAUGAGAACGUACAUGUGUAUUCAAGCCGGGACCAAUUAAACCUUUUCAUACAGAGAAACUACAGUUGUUACACCAUUUGGAAGUGUUUUUGCUCAAGUGUUGUAAGUCUUGGGGGGAUUCCUUUUUCCCCUUCUUACUAUUGAGAGUUUGAAUUGUGAAUUAAUUUUGUCAUCAUUUAGUCAAGAUUCUAAUAAAUAUAUGACAGGUAGCUCAGGCAUGAAGAUGUACCUGUGCAAGCAAAAUGUUCUUUUCCAGGAUUGAUAGUUAAAUAGAAGAUACUUCCCUCCCACCUUUGGUUGGGAUCCUGGCAUUCUGAGGGCCGACUUUGGGCUUCAACUUGUUUGCCCAUCUGAUCAGGAUUGUGGUUUAUCAUGCUUAGUUUCAAGGCCUUCUUGACUCCUCCAGUUAACGAGAAAGGCAUUUCUUUUCCAGCUCCCGACCUUUGAGAAUAGAUGUUUUCAAGGCUAAAUGUCUCUCUGCAGUUGGUGAGCGGGUGCAUUAAGAGAACAGGGAAACUGAUGGAUUGGAGGCUUAAUAGCUGACACAGGUGUGACUGGUUGCUAUUAUAGAUCAUCCACUUCCUUUGUCUCUUCCUCCCAUAAAAGUAUAAUUGCCGUUCCACAAUUUUUUCCACACAGCUUCUUGAAACAACUGCUUCAAAAAACUGGAUGGCUCUUGAAAGAACAUUUCAGGUGUGGGGCUUGUUCAGAAGCAAUGCAUUUGUUUAGUUUCUCUUUCAUUUUGACCUUAAUUUGAAGUCUGGCUAGAGUGGAUGAAGCAACAGAAUAGGAUAGUUUUUUAAAAAAUGGACCCUAUCAUCCAAUUGUCCAAUAGACAAGAUUUUGCAGAAGCUGUUCUGAUUUGUCCAGUCUGCUUUCUUCAUUAUGUUCUAGUUAAGCAAAGACUGAUAUCCUAACUAUAGUUCUUAGUAAUCCUUUAUAAAUCUUGAGGACUUGGCUCCAAGGAGACAUUGGUUGAGAGAUGUCCAAGCCACAUAACUGGAACAGGACUGAUGACCUCAGUUGGAAUCACUGGAUUAAGUAGAUUCUGGAUUUAAGCUGUUGAUUGUGUGGAAACCAAUUUGUGAGCCUAGAAAGUUGUGUUUACUUUUGCUGGGUCAGUUCACAUAACAGGCAAUUUAAGAUCCAUUUUUCCAGCUGCGUUAAUGGAGCUGGAAUUGAAUCUAUAAAUUGAAGGGCCUUUUUCCCCUCCAUUUCAAACUUCCCCAGUUCAGAAAUGAAGGAGUUGCAAUAUUUUGAAAUCUUUACUGAUCCCAAGGAUGGAAAUCCCUUCGUGACUUGUAUACAGUAAGGAACUGAUGCAGAACAAUAGUUUGAACUUGUCCACUUCUAUAAACAGAGGACACAGUCUAGCCAAAAUGAGAUUCCUUUGGACAGUUUGGAGUCUCUCACUGAAACUGAGGGGCUUGUAAAAUUGCCCAGAGGUUGUUUUUUACAACUCAUCCGGCAUAUUGAAAGGCAUCCUGAAGCACCAAGAGCAGAUGUGGGAAUGGGCUUUCCGCUCCUCUUGCUAUUUCUGCUGCAGCAUGUCUGAAUCCCAUGUCUGAAAAGGUAAAGCUGGCUUGGGCCAUGUGAUUGCAGGACUUUAUCCUU